UAGGGAAUCUUCCACAAUGGACGCAAGUCUGAUGGAGCAACGCCGCGUGAGUGAAGAAGGUUUUCGGACCGUAAAGCUCUGUUGUUGGUGAAGAAGGAUAGAGGUAGUAACUGGCCUUUAUUUGACGGUAAUCAACCAGAAAGUCACGGCUAACUACGUGCCAGCAGCCGCGGUAAUACGUAGGUGGCAAGCGUUGUCCGGAUUUAUUGGGCGUAAAGCGAGCGCAGGCGGAAGAAUAAGUCUGAUGUGAAAGCCCUCGGCUUAACCGAGGAAUUGCAUCGGAAACUGUUUUUCUUGAGUGCAGAAGAGGAGAGUAGAACUCCAUGUGUAGCGGUGGAAUGCGUAGAUAUAUGGAAGAAUACCAGUGGCGAAGGCGGCUCUCUGGUCUGCAACUGACGCUGAGGCUCGAAAGCAUGGGUAGCGAACAGGAUUAGAUACCCUGGUAGUCCAUGCCGUAAACGAUGAGUGCUAAGUGU
rnacentral:rRNA from 1 species